GAAGAAACGGACAAUAUAGAGCUGGCGGAAUUUUCCAUGCACCGGCAGGACAGAGACGCUAUCUUUGAUUGACAUGAGGAUGUUAGCUUCUUGCUAGCUGAAUACCAGUGCUCUCAGAACCACGUCGUGAAGUUGAUGAUAACAUUACUUGAAGUUAUGGGUGAGAUGAGGAUCUACUGUUCCAUGUGGGGUUAGUGCAUCACCUGGACAGUGUGUUUAAAGUAGAGCCACUACAGUUUAUGCAUUUCACUUUGGACUUGUAGUACUCCGAUUGUUUUAUGCACUUAAUUUAUUUCACUUGAUUGUGAUUUGGACUGAACAUUACUUUAUGGUGACUUCAUCUUGUGGUGAUUUCCCUUCUACAUUAUCCUAUUUUAAAUUUAAGUUUUGACAGAAUAAACAACCCCAAAUUAGUUUGUCUUGUGCUGGGUUUACUUUCGCCAGGCUACAUUUAUAUACUGCUUAAGACACCUUUGCUAUUUGCCUCUGUACUCAAUAAAUGGCGCAUCAUUAUUUGUGAAGGUUUUCUUUGUUCAUAUGUAUAUACAUUAUGGAAAACAUGUCGCACACUCAGUCAUAAUUAGUCAAAUAAUGAAUGUAUUGGCAAGAUUUUGGCACCGUCA
ensembl:lncRNA